GACACCGCUGCCAUGCAGGAGUCCUGCCUGCUCCUCCUCUGAGGCCCCCGGGGAUCAAAGGUCCUGCUAAGGAAACCACAACUGGACACAAUGCGGAAAUAAACCAGUGGGUCAAGGGGAGACCAGUACCAACGGAUACAUCUACAUCACAGCUGUGUCUCUGAACAGUGAGCCUUGUGAAAGGACCAUCCAACCUGGAGAUCUGGAGAUGAAGACCAGCUAAGACUUCAAGGUGAACUCCAAGUGAGCCGGUACUACACAGUGAGACCCUGUGUGAACACUGCACCCCAGGACCAUUCUCUCAGUUUCUGGACUCUUGCUUCAGCUCCAUUGAUCCUUUUGGCUGUCUUCUUGACAGCUGAUCCCACUUAGCUGGUAAUAGCUGCUUGAGGUGGGAUUGAAAUUGGCCAUGAUCUA